rnacentral:rRNA from 1 species
CCUACGGGAGGCAGCAGUGGGGAAUUUUGGACAAUGGGCGCAAGCCUGAUCCAGCCAUGCCGCGUGUGGGAAGAAGGCCUUCGGGUUGUAAACCACUUUUGUCAGGGAAGAAACGGUCUUUUCUAAUACAGAGGGCUAAUGACGGUACCUGAAGAAUAAGCACCGGCUAACUACGUGCCAGCAGCCGCGGUAAUACGUAGGGUGCAGGCGUUAAUCGGAAUUACUGGGCGUAAAGCGUGCGCAGGCGGCUUUGCAAGACAGGUGUGAAAUCCCCGGGCUCAACCUGGGAACUGCAUUUGUGACUGCAUGGCUAGAGUACGGUAGAGGGGGAUGGAAUUCCGCGUGUAGCAGUGAAAUGCGUAGAUAUGCGGAGGAACACCGAUGGCGAAGGCAAUCCCCUGGACCUGUACUGACGCUCAUGCACGAAAGCGUGGGGAGCAAACAGGAUUAGAUACCCUGGUAGUCCAGCCCUAAACGAUGUCAACUGGUUGUUGGACGGCUUGCUGUUCAGUACGAAGCUAACGCGNGNGUGCGCNGGNGNGCGCGAGUGAGANANGAGUGNGNGNGAGAGNGCGAGAGAGAGAGGGAGAGG